UUUUUAUGAUUGUUGAGUUGUUAAGAGACUGUUUUUUGUCUAGAAGACAAUCAAGGUGCUGUGGAAUGCUAAAACGACACUAUAAUUAGCGAGGAACUGUCGUUGUUCGCUAGAGGUUCUGGAGCGCUCGUGUUUGUGUUAGCUUCAAAACGAUACCUGGUGUGUACUCCGACUGUGUAGAAAGCGAGAAUCGGUGAAAGUUGAAAACGAUUCUGUCGAUGCCAUAUCGGCGUGUAGUCGCCCGUGUGGUAGGCCGUGUGGCAGUACACGGGAGUGUGAUCGACGAACCAGGCGUUGCCCGCGACACGGGUGCGACGGACAUGGCCAUGUGAUGAUUGGCUAGGUCGUGUUCGAGACACGAGCUCGGCCAAUUGGGCCCACACGAGUGAACCACACAGGCGUGUGGGGAUUUGGGUCAGACCGUGUAAUCUACACGGGCAGGCCAUAUGGGCGUGUGAGCCCACUUUUCUGAAAUGUUCUAAAAGGUUACGUAGGUUGCCCAAAGCGACUGUGACCUGUCAUAGGGUCGGUAAUCCCCAGCAGUAGGUGGAUUGGUGCAGCGAAGGACUCGACGGUGACUACGGCCACUUACUCAUGGGUUUAUGUUUAAAUACUCUACCACGUUAUUUUAUUACUAUUUUAGGGAUAUUUUUUGUAAUUAUGGACUUGGACUUUUGGUUUUAA